ensembl:lncRNA
GAGCUACAUUAAAAUAACUUACCAUAUAAAUCCAUCUCUGCAUCUAUGCUUGACCAUUUUCUGCUUGUGGUGACAGAUAGGACAUCGCAUAGACUUUUUCAGCAGUCCUUUCUUCUGGAGGUAUUUUAUAAUCUUUUUUUUAUUUCUUCUGGCGUGUUUUGCUGACAAUACAUGAAGCAGUGCAUGGGGCAUGACGAAUUCAAUGGCAUUUGGAUUUAAGCGGGAGGUUUAAAAUCUGAUCCUGUGUCUUGCAGUUACAAGUUGAAAAUUGUCAAAACUGUCGUAAAGAAAUCAAAGUAAAUUGCUACACCUACGUCAGCAGCAGGUAUUCUUCAGUGAAUGAAUUCAGGUAAAUAGCUAUAAAUGCUGCAUCAAGUUACACCAACAAUGAAAAGAUGAAAAUGAAGAUGCUCAAAAUGAAAAUAAAGGCAUUGGAGGAAGAGAGGGACUUCCUCCGAACAACUAUUACCCAGCUGACUGGACAAAGAACUUCUUCAGGACCAAGUCCUAGCUCAUCUGUGGGUGACAACUUUGCCAAGCUUGACGAUCAGUGGGAUGACAGCUCUGAUUCUUCGAGCUCUGAUAGCUCUUCAUCCACAGACAGCGAAAUAGAAAAGAAAAAGAAGAACAAGGAGAAGAAAAAGAACAAAAAUAAGAAGGAAAAAAAGGAAACUAAAAAAGGGAGAGCAAAGACCCCAGAAGAUACAAGAUGGUCCUAGCAGCAUACAAAAGGAAGGGAAGUAUGGCUGCUGCAUUCCAAACCGUGGGUGUUGACAGAAACACCGUGGCCAUGAGUUGUCACCUGGCUGUUUGUUGUCUUGCUAUCCAUCUGAGUUCAUAUACAAUCUAUCUUGCCCACAUACAUUGGAUUUUACACACCUGAAACAUGUUUUUAAUUUUGGGAAUAUAAAUUGAAUGUAUAUUCAAAUUUUUUCUGUACUUUUUUUUCUGUAUAUUAGUUUGUAAAUAUCCUAAGAGACUAGUUUCAUAAUAUUUUUUAUGUAAUUAAAUGUAUUUGUGGUUCAGUGGUAUAGGUCUUUACAUAAUUGUAAAAAUCCAUGAAAGACGUUCUUCAGAGGUAAAUGAAGAGGCCUCACUUGUGGAAUAACCCCCAUACGUGUAAUAAUGAACCACAAUUACAUGUAAUUACGUGGUAGUUCCUGUGUAACUAUAGUGCUGUUACUACAUAUAAUGCCACAUUGUUCAAGGCAACAGAUAUACACAUGAUGUACAGUGUAAGCUUUUUUUAAACAUAAUUUUUCCUUUUAAUACUCUUUAGAUAUUGGGUUUGUGUGGUCUCUGGAAACGUAGGUUGCGAUUGGCGAUUAGCAGAAAUAAUAAUGUUGAGGAAAUGGAAUGGUAGUAAUUAUAUUCUUCUGCCUCAUGUUUAAGAAUGAAAACAAGUCUAUGGUGUAGUUUAAGCCGUUUGAUGUUUAACCUCUUUUGUAAUUGUUUUUUGUGCAAAAUAAAAAUAACGCACCAUGUUUACAUCUGACUUCAGAUUAUUCUUGAAUAGUAAAUUUGUCCUCCAUGAGUCAUUGUAGAUGUUACUACAUUGAAGUGCUAGACCAUGUGUACCAAAUAUAUAUUGACAAUACUUUUCUUUGCAGGAACUGCUUUUCUUUGCAGUACUGCAUAGGUUUUUUUUGUCUUAGUAACUGCAUACUACUUGUACUACAUGGUCAUUGACAUUUUAUUAACCGGUAAAAUGGUUAACAAUAUUCAUAUUACCUUGUAAUUACACUUAGCAUAAUCAAAC